GACGAAGGGGGCUAGCGUUGUUCGGAUUCAUUGGGCGUAAAGGGUGCGUAGGCGGCGCGGUAAGUCGGGUGUGAAAUCUCGGAGCUUAACUCCGAAACUGCAUUCGAUACUGCCGUGCUUGAGGACUGGAGAGGAGACUGGAAUUUACGGUGUAGCGGUGAAAUGCGUAGAUAUCGUAAGGAAGACCAGUGGCGAAGGCGGGUCUCUGGACAGUUCCUGACGCUGAGGCACGAAGGUCAGGGGAGCAAACGGG
rnacentral:rRNA from 1 species